UACGAAGGGGGCUAGCGUUGCUCGGAAUCACUGGGCGUAAAGGGUGCGUAGGCGGGAUCUUAAGUCAGAGGUGAAAGCCUGGAGCUCAACUCCAGAACUGCCUUUGAUACUGGGAUUCUUGAGUUCGGGAGAGGUGAGCGGAACUGCGAGUGUAGAGGUGAAAUUCGUAGAUAUUCGCAAGAACACCAGUGGCGAAGGCGGCUCACUGGCCCGAUACUGACGCUGAGGCACGAAAGCGUGGGUAGCAAACAGG
rnacentral:rRNA from 2 species